rnacentral:rRNA from 1 species
UGCGUAGGCGGAAUAUUAAGUCAGUGGUGAAAUCCUGCGGCUCAACCGUAGAACUGCCAUUGAUACUGAUAUUCUUGAAUGUAGUUGAGGUAGGCGGAAUGUGUAAUGUAGCGGUGAAACGCUUAGAUAUUACACAGAACACCGAUUGCGAAGGCAGCUCACUAAACUGUUACUGACGCUGAGGCACGAAAGCGUGGGGAGCGAACAGGAUUAGAUACCCUGGUAGUCC